GUGCUUGCUUCGGCAGUACAUAAACUAAAAUUGGAACGAUACAGAGAAGAUUAGCAUAGCCUCUGCACAAGGAUGACACGCAAAUUCGUGAAGUGUCCCAUAUUUUU
rnacentral:snRNA from 1 species